UGUUUCGGCUAGGGGGCCAUCCCGGCUUACCAACCCGAUGCAAACUGCGAAUACCGGAGAAUGUUAUCACGGGAGACACACGGCGGGUGCUAACGUCCGUCGUGAAGAGGGAAACAACCCAGACCGCCAGCUAAGGUCCCAAAGUCAUGGUUAAGUGGGAAACGAUGUGGGAAGGCCCAGACAGCCAGGAUGUUGGCUUAGAAGCAGCCAUCAUUUAAAGAAAGCGUAAUAGCUCACUGGUCGAGUCGGCCUGCGCGGAAGAUGUAACGGGGCUAAACCAUGCACCGAAGCUGCGGCAGCGACACUGUGUGUUGUUGGGUAGGGGAGCGUUCUGUAAGCCUGUGAAGGUGGCCUGUGAGGGUUGCUGGAGGUAUCAGAAGUGCGAAUGCUGACAUAAGUAACGAUAAAGCGGGUGAAAAGCCCGCUCGCCGGAAGACCAAGGGUUCCUGUCCAACGUUAAUCGGGGCAGGGUGAGUCGACCCCUAAGGCGAGGCCGAAAGGCGUAGUCGAUGGGAAACGGGUUAAUAUUCCCGUACUUGGUGUUACUGCGAAGGGGGGACGGAGAAGGCUAUGUUGGCCGGGCGACGGUUGUCCCGGUUUAAGCGUGUAGGUGUGUGUUCCAGGUAAAUCCGGUUCACUUUAACACUGAGGCGUGAUGACGAGGCACUACGGUGCUGAAGCAACAAAUGCCCUGCUUCCAGGAAAAGCCUCUAAGCAUCAGGUAACAUCAAAUCGUACCCCAAACCGACACAGGUGGUCAGGUAGAGAAUACCAAGGCGCUUGAGAGAACUCGGGUGAAGGAACUAGGCAAAAUGGUGCCGUAACUUCGGGAGAAGGCACGCUGACACGUAGGUGAAGUGAUUUACUCAUGGAGCUGAAGUCAGUCGAAGAUACCAGCUGGCUGCAACUGUUUAUUAAAAACACAGCACUGUGCAAACACGAAAGUGGACGUAUACGGUGUGACGCCUGCCCGGUGCCGGAAGGUUAAUUGAUGGGGUCAGCGCAAGCGAAGCUCCUGAUCGAAGCCCCGGUAAACGGCGGCCGUAACUAUAACGGUCCUAAGGUAGCGAAAUUCCUUGUCGGGUAAGUUCCGACCUGCACGAAUGGCGUAAUGAUGGCCAGGCUGUCUCCACCCGAGACUCAGUGAAAUUGAACUCGCUGUGAAGAUGCAGUGUACCCGCGGCAAGACGGAAAGACCCCGUGAACCUUUACUAUAGCUUGACACUGAACAUUGAGCCUUGAUGUGUAG
rnacentral:rRNA from 1 species